UACGGGGGGGCAAGCGUUGUUCGGAAUUACUGGGCGUAAAGGGUUUGUAGGUGGCUUGUUCAGUCAGACGUGAAAUCCCUCAGCUUAACUGGGGAACUGCGUCUGAUACUGGCGAGCUUGAGUGCAGGAGAGGAACGCGGAAUUCCAGGUGUAGCGGUGAAAUGCGUAGAUAUCUGGAGGAACACCGGUGGCGAAGGCGGCGUUCUGGACUGCAACUGACACUGAGAAACGAAAGCCAGAGUAGCAAACGGG
rnacentral:rRNA from 1 species